AGUGAACGCUGGCGGUAGGCCUAACACAUGCAAGUCGAACGGCAGCACAGUAAGAGCUUGCUCUUACGGGUGGCGAGUGGCGGACGGGUGAGGAAUACAUCGGAAUCUACUUUUUCGUGGGGGAUAACGUAGGGAAAAUUACGCUAAUACCGCAUAUGACCUACGGGUGAAAGCAGGGGAUCUUCGGACCUUGCGCGAUUGAAUGAGCCGAUGUCGGAUUAGCUAGUUGGCGGGGUAAAGGCCCACCAAGGCGACGAUCCGUAGCUGGUCUGAGAGGAUGAUCAGCCACACUGGAACUGAGACACGGUCCAGACUCCUACGGGAGGCAGCAGUGGGGAAUAUUGGGCAAUGGGCGCAAGCCUGAUCCAGCCAUACCGCGUGGGUGAAGAAGGCCUUCGGGUUGUAAAGCCCUUUUGUUGGGAAAGAAAAACAGCAGGUUAAUACCCCGCUGUUCUGACGGUACCCAAAGAAUAAGCACCGGCUAACUUCGUG
rnacentral:rRNA from 1 species